UACGAAGGGGGCUAGCGUUGUUCGGAAUCACUGGGCGUAAAGGGCGCGUAGGCGGCCUUGUAAGUCGGGGGUGAAAGCCUGUGGCUCAACCACAGAAUUGCCUUCGAUACUGCAGGGCUUGAGACCGGAAGAGGUGAGUGGAACUGCGAGUGUAGAGGUGAAAUUCGUAGAUAUUCGCAAGAACACCAGUGGCGAAGGCGGCUCACUGGUCCGGGUCUGACGCUGAGGCGCGAAAAGCGUGGGGAGCAAACAGG
rnacentral:rRNA from 1 species